AAUUUUCCGCAAUGGGCGAAAGCCUGACGGAGCAACACCGCGUGAGGGAUGAAGGCCUCUGGGCUGUAAACCUCUUUUAUCAAGGAAGAAGAUCUGACGGUACUUGAUGAAUAAGCCACGGCUAAUUCCGUGCCAGCAGCCGCGGUAAUACGGGAGUGGCAAGCGUUAUCCGGAAUUAUUGGGCGUAAAGCGUCCGCAGGCGGCCCAGAAAGUCUGCUGUUAAAACGUGGAGCUUAACUCCAUCAUGGCAGUGGAAACUGUUGGGUUUGAGUGUGGUAGGGGCAGAGGGAAUUCCCGGUGUAGCGGUGAAAUGCGUAGAUAUCGGGAAGAACACCAGUGGCGAAGGCGCUCUGCUGGGCCAUAACUGACGCUCAUGGACGAAAGCCAGGGGAGCGAAAGGGAUUAGAUACCCCUGUAGUCCUGGCCGUA
rnacentral:rRNA from 1 species